UACGAAGGGGGCUAGCGUUGCUCGGAAUCACUGGGCGUAAAGGGUGCGUAGGCGGGUUUUUAAGUCAGGGGUGAAAUCCUGGAGCUCAACUCCAGAACUGCCUUUGAUACUGAAGAUCUUGAGUCCGGGAGAGGUGAGUGGAAUUCCUAGUGUAGAGGUGAAAUUCGUAGAUAUUAGGAAGAACACCAGUGGCGAAGGCGGCUCACUGGCCCGGUACUGACGCUGAGGCGCGAAAGCGUGGGGAGCAAACAGG
rnacentral:rRNA from 1 species